AACGAACGCUGGCGGCAUGCCUAACACAUGCAAGUCGAACGAUCCCUUCGGGGAUAGUGGCGCACGGGUGCGUAACGCGUGGGAACCUGCCCUUAGGUUCGGAAUAACUCAGAGAAAUUUGAGCUAACAUCGGAUAAUGUCUUCGGACCAAAGAUUUAUCGCCUUUGGAGGGGCCCGCGUUGGAUUAGCUUGUUGGUGGGGUAAAGGCCUACCAAGGCGACGAUCCAUAGCUGGUCUGAGAGGAUGAUCCGCCACACUGGGACUAGGACGCGGCCCAGACUCCUACGGGAGGCAGCAGUGGGGAAUAUUGGAAAAUGGGCGAAGGCCUGAACCAGCAAGGCCGCGUGAGUGAUGAAGGCCUUAGGGUUGUAAAGCUCUUUUACCCGGGAUGAUAAUGACAGUACCGGGAGAAUAAGCCCCGGCUAACUCCGUG
rnacentral:rRNA from 1 species